CUAGAGUAGUGACUUCCUGUAGGAAGUUGGAUUCUUCCUGUCUGGAAGAGUGGAGGAAAGGCAGGUUUGUUGGAGCUCCUCUACCUCAACCUGACUGUGGAAACCCCCCUAAAUCAUCUUUUGAGGGAGAACUUACUUAUAUAGAUCUCCAAAAAGAGCAAAGAUCCUCCAGUAUGCCAAACAUAUAAGUUAAUUCAUAUUCAAAGAGGACAUCUAUCAGAGGCCUUAUAAAUGAAAAAGACAUGGGAAGAAUUGUCAGACAUAAAGAAGUAAAGGUAAGAAGAAAGCACUUUUUACAUAAUUAUUACGUGUUUUAUACUGUACUACAUAUUUAAAAUCAGUGUGAGUGAUCUUUCCAGGGUCACAUGACUAAUAUGUGUCUAAAAUGGAUUUGAACUUCAGAUUUCCUGAUAACAGGUUCAUUGUAUGCCAUGCACUCC
rnacentral:lncRNA from 1 species